CAAGGACUGAACCCAAUCUGGAUCAAUUUUGAGUGAUAUUGGUGGGAUUUCAGGUAUUUGUAGUGGGCGGUAAAGGAUCGGAAAGGGUAUACCCAACAACAACUUGACGAGGUCCGCAUUGAAGUAGCCGACUACUUACAGACUCUGUUGUAGGUUCUGACCAGUUUCUUGAUUUUGAGUUAGUUUUAACUAACUUUUUGUAGCAAUUAUGAACAAACAAGAAUACUAAUUGCUAGGCUAGCCUUGUAGUAUAUAGGUGCAUAUAUGAAUUGGGGUUUUAUUUUGCCCAUUUUGUAAACUGUUAAGGAUGAUGAAUGUCGGAUAUAAUACCCCAAUUUGCAAUUUAUAAUCACAGUUCUAUUUUGUGGACA